rnacentral:lncRNA from 1 species
UCUUCUCAGUCAGUAAGAGGCAAUCACAGGAGUAAGUCUAAAACCUCAGAGGCUGCAGAGGCUAAGAAAGCUCACAGUGCAUUUCAGAACUGUGUGCCGAACUGGAGGUGGAGGUAUGGGGCAAGACAGACAGUGGCUUGUGCUACUUAUGUAUGAAUUGUUACUACUUACAAGGUGAGAGAUUGGCUGGAGACUGCUCGAGAGAGAGGGGUGCAGGCCAUCCAGACUGCUCAGUCUGGAAGAGUGAAGAGCGAGCAGAGCAUGAGGCGUGGAUCUACAAAACAGUGACGGACCCGGAGGAGGUGAACUUCAGCACAUCCAUCACUCUCUCUCCCACAGGAGAUAGAUCAAUCCAAACAGCUUAUUCCAUGCCCAACUUGUCUGUCCCCUUAGCAGAAUUCACCAACGAUGACCAUCACUUCUUAAGAAAAAAAGAUUCCCUGACUUUCAUGAUGUGA